GAAAUAGAUCGCUUUACAUCAGAGUCCUGCAAUUGGGUUCUACUCCUUGACAGUUUAUAUUUUCAGAGAAAUACUGUAAUGAUUUGGGGGCUGUAGUUUUUCAGCAAGAACCUCAAACACACUGAGGCUUUAAAAUGUUAAUGUGUUUGUUUUAUAUGAAAAUGCAAAGAGACUACAUAAAAGCAACAGUUGUUACUGUAUGAUGAUGAUGACAGAAUUGGAUAUGGCAGAAAUGUAUUAACCUGUGAAUGUGUUUGUGUCCCCCCCCGAAUGGCCUUGAUGAAGUUAAUUGCCAACCAGCCUUAUUUCCAGCCCCCACCUUUGCAUAUUCGGGUUUUGAAACCCUGCGACCAGCUCACGGUGUUCACCUGGGACCCGAAAGAGGAAGUGGUUAAACCACUCAUAAAGUGUAGUAAAGCUGGCAACCAUCACCGAUGGGGAGAUGGUAGUAAAAAUAACUGUUUGAGGAGUUUCUCGAAAGUGGGGUCUCAUAUAAUGAGGGGGCAUAAUCUAAGAGGUAAAGCUCCACCUAAAGACAGACAUCAUAGCACGGACCCAGUUUUUCAAGGCACCUGCCCGUCCUUUUGCAGAAGACGUUUUUGUAAAAGCUGAGGAUCUUUUGCAUCCCCUGGCUCCUUUGACUAACCUGAAGAUGAGCUCAACAAAUGUGGGGCUUAUGACAAUAGAAGGGGAGGUUAGCAUUUGUGCAGCCAUCAGAAUUGAUAUUGCUUUAGGUUUUAGAAGCCAUUAGUGUUUGUAUGUAUUUACAAGUAAAAUCAAUCAUUUGUUUUCAAACUAAAAGAUUUGACCUGACUGUUACGUUCACCUGUUAACAUUCUGGCUGCCACACAUUUUUCUCCCCCCCCCCCCUUAAUUUAUUUUAUUCUAAUUUCUGUCUGUGUUCUGCUGUUAUUGGAAACUGAAUUUCCCCGAGGAGCUACCUGAGGGAUUAAUAAAAGUUCUAAAUUGGACAUUGAUGUUGCCGUUACUCAAGGAUGGGUUCAAAGAAAAUUAUGAAAUGUAUUGUGUCUCCAACAACAACGUCAACAACAACAACAACGUCAACAACAACAACAACGUCAACAACAACAACAACAACAACAACAACAACAACAACAACAACAACAACAACAACAACAACAGACAGUAGUGAAUAAAGAAAGACCCAUCAUGGAUGUAUUCAUCACUCUGACAUUAUAUUUUAAUGGACUUUUCAGUGUUCGGCAGUGAGUAAGGAACUUGUUUCCCCUCACACAACCUAUUAAAUAAAAACAAACAAAAAAAACAAAAACACACCACACACCUGCAGCUAAAGCAGGUAAUGGUGCAACGGAGGUAUGAUAUUGAAAGUGGCCAAAGUCAUUUGGCAUAAUUGAGAUUGGUGGUAGAGGAGCAGAUUGUAUUAGGUUUGUGGCCUUUAUUUUGGUAGCGAGUGGCUUUUUGUAUUUGUCAAUUAAUGAAUCUUCCAUUCUGUCAUGUUUGUGAUUUCAGGAUAAUUAUGCCAUGACUGUCUCUCUGGAGAGAGGCAGCUAUUCACCACUUUCAUGUAGAAAACCCCAUAAAAGACAAAAGAGGACAGAGCACAGGUCAAUGUCAUUGGCGUGGCCCACUACUGACACGUCCAACCAACUAGAGGUACUGUUGGAAAGUGGAGAAAGCCUGUAUAUCGAUACAGACAUGUGGAAACCGUUUGACAAGGACCUGGAAAAAGCCAUAGCGAAUAUUAAAAUCAGAGGGAAGCAAAUUACUGACAUAAAGUCAGCAUGAGUAUGGAAGUAUUUGUGGUUUGUGUGUUGUUGAGAAUGUUCAGGGGGGGGGAAAAAAAAAAAAAAAAAAAAAAAAAAAAAAA